UUAGCAGCUUUGGUUUCUUUACACCCAUUAUGCAUCGUAAAAUAUGGUGGAUUUUUUUCCGGUCACUUCAGCGCAUGAUACUGAAUAUUUGAACGGUUUUCAUUCUAUUCCUGGCGGGUUUUCGCGAACGUAAAAUAAUAAUUUUCCGCGCGUUGUACGAAAACGGUCCCUUCCGAAUCGCAGACAACGGAAACGAUUUCGGUAUAAAAUAUUAUAAUUAUAUUUCGGGUACAGUCGACAGUGCUAUUGACGCUUGCCGCGUGCGUGCAGACAAUAAUAUUAUUACGACGGAUUCUGGUGGUGGAA